rnacentral:rRNA from 1 species
UACGGGGGGGGCAAGCGUUGUUCGGAAUUACUGGGCGUAAAGGGUUCGUAGGUGGCUUGCUAAGUCACACGUGAAAUCCCUCAGCUUAACUGGGGAACUGCGUGUGAUACUGGCGAGCUUGAGUGCAGGAGAGGAACGCGGAAUUCCAGGUGUAGCGGUGAAAUGCGUAGAUAUCGAGAGGAACACCAGUGGCGAAGGCGAGUCCCUGGACAACUCCUGACACUGAGGCACGAAAGCUAGGGGAGCAAACAGG